UACAGAGGUCCCGAGCGUUGUUCGGAUUCACUGGGCGUAAAGGGUGCGUAGGUGGUGAGGUAAGUCGGAUGUGAAAUCUCCGGGCUCAACCCGGAAAUGGCAUUGGAAACUACCUUGCUGGAGGAUUUGAGGGGGGAUUGGAAUACUUGGUGUAGCAGUGGAAUGCGUAGAUAUCAAGUGGAACACCAGUGGCGAAGGCGAAUCCCUGGAAAAUACCUGACACUGAGGCACGAAAGCUAGGGGAGCAAACAGG
rnacentral:rRNA from 1 species